AAUCCCGUCAUUUUCCCUCAUUUCCAUUUUCUCCUUCCCUCCACUCCCCAUCCUCUCUCCGUUGCAGCGUUGUUCACGGUCUCCCGUCGCAGUCGCCCCUCGUCGUCGCUCCACACCUUGCCGUCGUCCUUCACAGCCCCAGCCCCUCUCCCUUGGUCCAUUUUCUCCUUCCCUCCUCCACUCUCCGUCCUCUCUCCGUCACAGCGCGGUUCAAGGUCUCUUGUCGCCAUUGCCCGUCGCCGUUGCCCAUCCUUUCCAUGGCCGUCUGCUUCAUGGUUGUGCCUUCAUAGAGAGUUUGGAGAAGAGUGGGUAUUUCGGGGGGCUACUACCUGGAUCGAAAGAGUAUAAGAGAUUGAUGGAGAAUGCGGAAGAGUACUACAGAAGCAACUCUUUAUUUUCUAGAUCUAGAAGAGAAUUGCACGUGUGUGUGUGGGUGCGUGUGUGUGUGGAGGAAUCAGACAUGCGAAUGAAACUUGUGAGUACUAAGUAGUAGGGUUUAAGGGUUUGUGUUUUGCCUAAGGCUCUGAGGGACGGAGGAUCAGACAUGGCGAUUAGGGCCGAGCUGGUGAGAUGAUUCCUAUCCACUUCAAUCUUUUCUUCUAAAUUCAAACUGCCUGCUGCUGCAACUGCUGCCUCUACUAAUAAGCCUGAGCCUUCUCCUUCGCCGACCAUCUUCAUCUUAGGGCUGAACAAGAGAACCACAUCAGAGAAACUUCAUGAAGCAUUCUAUAAAUUCGGUGACAUUGUUAAUGGGGUUUAAAACAGAUGUAGUAAUAUGUAGCUAUGAAGAUCAUUUUCUUGUUAUUACCACUCAAAUUGGAAGCAUGGGAACUAUACUACAAGCCAGGUGAUCCAGAUAGGUGAGCAGAUCAGGCUCGUAGAUAGGGAGGCCUCAGUAUUACCCUGAUAUUAGAGUCCUGCAGGGUGUUAGCUUUAGUUGGUAGCGGGCCUUUGGAGCAAAGUAUUGUUGUUAGUUACGUAAGUGUUUUGUUUAUGUAUUGGAUUUUAAUUCAGAGUGACUUUUGGGAAUGUAAUACAGCUUAUGUUUUAUGUACGUGUGAAUGUUUGCAAGGGAUAGUUAGAUACUCUGGUAUGUCUAUUAGAAUCCAUACGAAUGUAUAUGUUUGCUGCACUGUAGAAGAGUACAUAUCAUUAUGAAAUACCC